rnacentral:tRNA from 1 species
GCGGAAGUGGCGAAAUUGGUAGACGCACCAGAUUUAGGUUCUGGCGCCGCGAGGCGUAAGAGUUCAAGUCUCUUCUUACGCACCA